rnacentral:rRNA from 1 species
GACGAACGCUGGCGGCGUGCCUAAUACAUGCAAGUAGAACGCCGUUGCGAACGGGUGAGUAACGCGUAGGUGACUUCCUCAUAGCGGGGGAUAACUAUUGGAAACGAUAGCUCAUACCGCAUACUUUGGGAUGGACCUGCGUUGUAUUAGAGAGUUGGUGAGGUAAAGGAUCACCAAGGCCACGAUCCAUAGCCGAGCUGGGAGGGUGAUCGGCCACACCGGGACCUAGACACGGCCCAGAAUCCUACGGGAGGCAGGAGUAGGGAAUCUUUGGCAAUGGACGGAAGUCUGGACGAGCAAAGGCGGGUGAGGGAAGAAGGUUUUCGGAUUGUAAAGGUCUGUUGUUAGAGAAGCGGUAACUAACGAGAAAGGGACGGCUAACUACGUGCCAGCAGCCGCGGUAAUUC